rnacentral:rRNA from 1 species
GGGAUAACUAUUGGAAACGAUAGCUAAUACCGCAUAACAAUGGAUGACACAUGUCAUUUAUUUGAAAGGGGCAAUUGCUCCACUACAAGAUGGACCUGCGUUGUAUUAGCUAGUAGGUGAGGUAACGGCUCACCUAGGCGACGAUACAUAGCCGACCUGAGAGGGUGAUCGGCCACACUGGGACUGAGACACGGCCCAGACUCCUACGGGAGGCAGCAGUAGGGAAUCUUCGGCAAUGGGGGCAACCCUGACCGAGCAACGCCGCGUGAGUGAAGAAGGUUUUCGGAUCGUAAAGCUCUGUUGUAAGUCAAGAACGAGUGUGAGAGUGGAAAGUUCACACUGUGACGGUAGCUUACCAGAAAGGGACGGCUAACUACGUGCCAGCAGCCGCGGUAAUACGUAGGUCCCGAGCGUUGUCCGGAUUUAUUGGGCGUAAAGCGAGCGCAGGCGGUUUGAUAAGUCUGAAGUUAAAGGCUGUGGCUCAACCAUAGUUCGCUUUGGAAACUGUCAAACUUGAGUGCAGAAGGGGAGAGUGGAAUUCCAUGUGUAGCGGUGAAAUGCGUAGAUAUAUGGAGGAACACCGGUGGCGAAAGCGGCUCUCUGGUCUGUAACUGACGCUGAGGCUCGAAAGCGUGGGGAGCGAACAGGAUUAGAUACCCUGGUAGUCCACGCCGUAAACGAUGAGUACUAGGUGUUGGAUCCUUUCCGGGAUUCAGUGCCGCAG